UCAAUAAAGGAAAGGAAAAAAUGCAUUGUAAUGUUUUUCUGGGGAAGUGUGUGGAAUCUGUCUCUAAGAAGUUGUUGAUUUGUGUUGUUUUAAGGAAAGUCAUGAAGAUGCCAGUCAGAGAGAAGAUUGGGGAGCAGAACCUCUCUCACAGGCUCAGGAAAGUGAAGAUGUCACCCAAAGAGAAGAACAGAGAGCAGAGCCUUUCACAUUAGCACAGAACAAUGAAGAUGCCACCCAAAGAGAAGAGCAGAGCACAGAGCCUAUCACAUUAACACAGGAAAGUGAUGAAGAUGCCAGCCAGAGAGAAGAGCAGAGAGGAGAACCUGUCGCACUGGCACAGGAAAACAAUGAUGAUACCAGCCAAAGUCAAGAGCAAAGAGCAGGAUCUUUCACAAUGGUACAGGACAGUGUCCCUCAAGCAGAUGUCCACUUCCAUGGACUAACGGAAGGACAAAGCAUCAUCUCGAUUCUCUCCUUUGCACUGAGACACAACACUACAGGUGUAUUGAUGGAAGACCUGCUGAAACUACUUAAGUUACAU